AACGAACGCUGGCGGCGUGCCUAACACAUGCAAGUCGAACGAGAAAGGGGCUUCGGCCCUGAGUAAAGUGGCGCACGGGUGAGUAACACGUAGGUAACCUACCUCUAAGUUUAGGACAACCUGUCGAAAGAUGAGCUAAUACUGAAUGAGACCACAGUUUCUUCGGAAGCAGAGGUCAAAGGUAGCCUCUAUUUAUAAGCUAUCACUUAGAGAUGGGCCUGCGUACCAUUAGCUAGUUGGUGAGGUAACGGC
rnacentral:rRNA from 1 species